CUCGAACUAUCAAAUUGUUGCAUUUUGGUCCUUCUUCGGCUCUUUUCUCCUGAAUUCCACAAUUUCCAUUGAAUUACCUACAAUGCAUGAAUUUAACUGGAUUAAGUCAUAAUUCAACCAUUUUAUCCAUGUUUAAGUCAUGUUUGUGAACCAAAUAAGUGUGUAAAAACACACUUAUCAAAUCCUCCAAACUUAAACUAUUGUUUGUCCUCAAACAAUGUAGUGACUCAA
rnacentral:lncRNA from 1 species